CUGAGAAGUCAGAAGUUGACCAGGUAGAAGGAAAAGUUGUGUUGGGCCCAGAACCAAGAGAGCAUCAAUCCGUUCAGAGUAGCUUAACAAUGAGGUACAAAAGUGCAGUGUGUUUACUCAGAGACUCUGGGAUCGUAAACUCUUGAGCUCUGAAGUAGUAUUUAAAUAGCACUUUAGAGCAUCUAUUUGUGUUAAGAGUGCCUAAGAGCUUGGUAAACAUGGAGAAAUUUAGUUCUUGGUCCCAGCAUUAACACCCCUUUAUUUCUUUGCUGUCAGAUCAAUUCCUCUGCAGUUUCCUAGUUCUGUAAAGCUCUGACUCACACUUGUUACAUACUUAAGGAACUCCAAAAACAGCUUGGGAUGCUAGUGUUCUAGAGAAUCAAGUGAAUGCAGUUUUGUUGGUGGUGUUUUUCUCCCUCAGAAAGGAAGUCUCAUAGCCUAAAUGCCAUCUGUUAUAUUUGUCCAUAUUUAGUUUUUAAGGGACUGUAAAAGUGUGGGUGACUUAAAACAGCAGCUUGGUUCAUCAAAUUAAGUUUUAGGGAAUUAGAGCAGUACAGGGGAAAAUAUAAAUAUGGGCUGAAUUGAUUCUGUGUUUGUAUCCUCACAUAUUGGACUUCCUGGAAUUCAACUCAGAUUUAGAGCUGCCAUUUUUUUAUCAGUAAAAUGGGGAUAAGUAUGUCACCUGACAGGAGACUAGUCCACAGGUGUUACUUUGUGUUUUGUGCAUUUAGGCAAAGACCUGGCAUAUAGUAAACAUUUUGUAAGCACAGAUGCCCCUUUUCAUUCCCUGACACCAUGCAGUAUUCUGUUUCCAGCAAGAGUGCUGCUACUAAAGAUGGAUGCCCUUAGAUACAAGAGGAUUCACACUGUAAUAUUCACAGGAGCAAAGGCUACUUGUACCGUUGUCUAUUGUUUAGGCAUGUUCUUUUGUUUAAUAUUUUUGUUUUAAUGAGCUUUACUGUUUGGUUGGAUGUUUUGUUUAUUUGGUUUUGACUUAAAGUUAUGGGUUUAGUUUCCCCUCAGGUAAAGACCUAAGGAAAUUGUUAAGCAUAGAAGAAAACUCUUAGAAAGCCAAUUAAUUCAUGGUGCAAUUCACAGUUAUUUAAAUCAACCCUCAGCCCCUGAGCAUAAUUCAAUAGCACAGUAAUGAGUGGAAGUUGCGUAUAUUUGUGAAAUAAUAAACAAGGAGAUAUUUAUAGGCCCUCUACAAACUAAAAAAGAAGUAAAAUUUAGCCACCUUUGUCCUUAAAGUAAUCUAACUUACAAGGUUAUAGUUAAACAUUUUUUCAUGGUGCUAAUCAAAAAAAUUCACGUUGCAAGAGAUGAGGUUCUUAAAAUGAGAAUGUACCUCACACUGACAGACAAGGAAAAUAAGCCUAAGGCCAGCAUCCCCAGAUUGCUACAGCCCAUCCUCCCAAUCGGGUACCUUCCAAACAGGAGCAAAAGGAAGCCAGCAUUAGUUAGGAAGGAUGGUUCUGAGGUGAAGUAGCAGGGAGAAGGUGAGAGGAUCGGACAGACUUGCUUAUGCAGAGAGGUCUCAAGACAGCUGUGCUUUGUCACACACCAUUCCAACACCUGAAACUUUGAAAUGAAUUGUCUAGCUGCACAAGCCAGAGUGCAGAGCUGUGGAGGGGAGCAUGGCUGACAGGCAGGUGUGCUCCAAGCUCUCUGCUUCCCUGUGCACUUGUUGCACCAUAAAACUCUGAUGUUAAAAAAGUUCCACACCUGCCUUCCUCACUUUGUCCUAAUUGGAAUGUCGGCAAAGUACAAGACUUCAAACCAGCAGUCUCGGCACUGCUGGGAACUUGUUGAAAAUGCUAAUUGAUGCUUUCAAAUAUUCUACCUUAUUUAUACUUCUGUCUACACGGGCCUGUGGAUUAGUAGUAUUAAUCUCCCCUGUGGCAGCCUUUUAAAUAUUUUUUUUUCUAUUUUUCGGAGCUGGGGACCGAACCUAGGGCCUUGCGCUUGCUAGGCAAGCGCUCCACCACUGAGCUAAAUCCCCAACCCCCUUUUUAAUAUUUUAAGACAAAAACUUAAUUUUACUUUCGUUACUAUGUCCUAACUAUUAAUUGUAAUUAUGUUAUUUUUAUAAUUUAUUUAUUUAGCAUGUAACUGUCACUUUGGAAUGUAGCCUUUCUAAGAUAGAGACUAUAAUUCUGUUAAUCAUAAAUUACUCUUAGCACUCAGCUCUUAUAUAUGCUAAAUAAAUACUUGUUGGGUAAAAGGGAAAAAUGCUAAUACCCGUGUCUUCCCCCACAAAACCUACUGAGCCAAAUUCUGGAAGCAGGGCCCCUCAGUUGUACAGUAAGCCAUUUGCAUGGUCCUGCAGUAGUCAGUUGUGAGAGGCACUGCAGAGCUGACAGAGGUGGACAUUCACCCUCAGGCGCCUACAAUUUGACAACACUUGAACAUUUCCCCUUGCCUCUGUAAGCCUUACCACCACUGUAACUGGCUGAGGUUCUUUCAGACCAGUCUAAGAAGUGGGUAUGAAGGUAGAAGGAUACAUUUAGUGUCAGUAAGGAAAGUAUUGCUUAGAACAGCAGGACCUGGGUGACACAGGUCUCUGGGAAUGUGGCCCCAUCGUCUAAAGCAGUGAGUGGUUCUCAACCCCUUUCUCGCCUGAAACCAUCAGAAAACACAUAUUUACAUUAUGAUUCAUAACAGUAGCGAAAUAAGUUAUGAAGUAGCAAUGAAAAUAAUUUUAUGGUUGGGGUCACCACAACAUGAGGAACUGGAUUAGAGGCCACAGCACCAGGAAGGCUAAGAACCGCAGCUUAAACAAAGAUGAGCUCUAACCACCAUACUUCCACACAGUGCCUUUGAAUUGGGGUUUAGCCUCGAGACACCCUGAGAAGCCAGUGAGGCCAUAUUAGACUAAUGUAUGUACACCUCUGUACCUCAGUCCCUAAGCUCACUUCUACGGCAGUAGACUUUUUAAGAAUUAUUAAUACUUUUUUAUUAAUACAAGUCAUAAUAAACUGACAAAAAAAUUUUAGAGGUAAAAAUAAAAACAUGGCGACAGUUCCAUCGUCUAAGAAGUGCUGUCUGAGGUGUGGCCUCCAGAUUCUCUGUACACUUACAGAUUUUUUUUAAUGGGGAUCAAAUUAUACAUGCUGUUUUGUAACUUUUUCACUCAACAGUGCCAUGCCUAUCUUACUGUGUCAUAUGUAUUUCUACAUCUUUUUUAAUGGAUGCAUGAUAUUUCUUCAUAUGUGCCACAUUUUGUUAAACUACUGUUGAAUUUUUAGGUUUCCAGUUUUUCACUAAUAAACUGCUUUGAAGAACACUG
rnacentral:lncRNA from 1 species